UGCCAGCCGCCGCGGUAAUACGGGGGGAGCAAGCGUUGUUCGGAAUCACUGGGCGUAAAGGGCGUGUAGGCUGUUUCGCAAGUCAGAAGUGAAAUCCACCGGCUUAACCGGGUGGACUGCUUUUGAAACUGCAAGACUUGAGUACGGAAGGGGAGAGCGGAAUUCCUGGUGUAGCGGUGAAAUGCGUAGAUAUCAGGAAGAACACCGGUGGCGAAGGCGGCUCUCUGGUCCAGUACUGACGCUGAGGCGCGAAAGCUAGGGGAGCAAACCGGAUUAGAUA
rnacentral:rRNA from 1 species